UACGAAGGGGGCGAGCGUUGUUCGGAUUUACUGGGCGUAAAGGGCGCGCAGGCGGCUCAUUUUGUCAGGCGUGAAAGCCCCGGGCUUAACCUGGGAACUGCGUUUGAUACGGAUGGGCUAGAGUUCGGGAGAGGAGAGUGGAAUUCCCAGUGUAGAGGUGAAAUUCGUAGAUAUUGGGAAGAACACCGGUGGCGAAGGCGGCUCUCUGGACCGAUACUGACGCUGAGGCG
rnacentral:rRNA from 1 species